GAUGAACGCUGGCGGCGUGCCUUAGGCAUGCAAGUCGAACGGACCUUCGGGUGAGUGGCGAACGGGUGAGUAACACGUGGGUGAUCUGCCCUGCACUUUGGGAUAAGCCUGGGAAACUGGGUCUAAUACCGAAUAUGAUCGCUGGCUUCAUGGCUGGGGGUGGAAAGCUUUUGCGGUGUGGGAUGGGCCCGCGGCCUAUCAGCUUGUUGGUGGGGUAAUGGCCUACCAAGGCGACGACGGGUAGCCGGCCUGAGAGGGUGACCGGCCACACUGGGACUGAGAUACGGCCCAGACUCCUACGGGAGGCAGCAGUGGGGAAUAUUGCACAAUGGGCGCAAGCCUGAUGCAGCGACGCCGCGUGAGGGAUGACGGCCUUCGGGUUGUAAACCUCUUUCGCCAGGGACGAAGCGCAAGUGACGGUACCUGGAGAAGAAGGACCGGCCAACUACGUGCCAGCCGCCGCCGUAA
rnacentral:rRNA from 1 species